UUAAGUCGACCGCCUGGGGAGUACGGCCGCAAGGUUAAAACUCAAAUGAAUUGACGGGGGCCCGCACAAGCGGUGGAGCAUGUGGUUUAAUUCGAUGCAACGCGAAGAACCUUACCUGGUCUUGACAUCCACGGAAGUUUUCAGAGAUGAGAAUGUGCCUUCGGGAACCGUGAGACAGGUGCUGCAUGGCUGUCGUCAGCUCGUGUUGUGAAAUGUUGGGUUAAGUCCCGCAACGAGCGCAACCCUUAUCCUUUGUUGCCAGCGGUCCGGCCGGGAACUCAAAGGAGACUGCCAGUGAUAAACUGGAGGAAGGUGGGGAUGACGUCAAGUCAUCAUGGCCCUUACGACCAGGGCUACACACGUGCUACAAUGGCGCAUACAAAGAGAAGCGACCUCGCGAGAGCAAGCGGACCUCAUAAAGUGCGUCGUAGUCCGGAUUGGAGUCUGCAACUCGACUCCAUGAAGUCGGAAUCGCUAGUAAUCGUGGAUCAGAAUGCCACGGUGAAUACGUUCCCGGGCCUUGUACACACCGCCCGUCACACCAUGGGAGUGGGUUGCAAAAGAAGUAGGUAGCUUAACCUUCGGGAGGGCGCUUACCACUUUGUGAUUCAUGACUGGGGUGAAGUCGUAACAAGGUAACCGUAGGGGAACCUGCGGUUGGAUCACCUCCU
rnacentral:rRNA from 3 species